UACAGAGGGGGCAAGCGUUGUUCGGAAUUACUGGGCGUAAAGCGUGCGUAGACGGCUAUCUAAGUCGGGUGUGAAAGCCCCGGGCUCAACCUGGGAAUUGCAUUCGAGACUGAAUAGCUAGGGUACGGUAGAGGGAAGUGGAAUUUCCGGUGUAGCGGUGAAAUGCGUAGAUAUCGGAAGGAACAUCAGUGGCGAAAGCGGCCACCUAGACUGCACCUGACGCUGAAACGCGAAAGCUAGGGGAGCGAACGGG
rnacentral:rRNA from 1 species